UACGGAGGGGACUAGCGUUGUUCGGAAUUACUGGGCGUAAAGCGCACGUAGGCGGAUUUGUAAGUCAGGGGUGAGAUCCCGGGGCUCAACCUCGGAACUGCCUUUGAUACUGCAAAUCUCGAGUCCGGAAGAGGUGAGUGGAAUUCCUAGUGUAGAGGUGAAAUUCGUAGAUGUUAGGAAGAACACCAGUGGCGAAGGCGGCUCACUGGUCCGGUACUGACGCUGAGGUGCGAAAGCGUGGGGAGCAAACAGG
rnacentral:rRNA from 1 species